AAAAAUAUGAAAUAACAUUUAAUAAGGCUUCCUUUUGAUGUUUGGCUAAGGCUACUAUAUUCUUAUGAGUAUAGAUAUUUUUGUACUUAUAAAAUUUUGACCAUUGGAUUAGAGGAUAUGCAGUUAGGAUGAUAAUAGUUUUUGGUUAGGAUGAUAGAGGUCCUCUAAAGUUGAGUGGGUGAUUUAUUGAAUAGUAUGAUCUAACGAGUGAAAAUGAUCAAAGUGAUAGAUUUAACGGUAGAAAACUUAUGAGUGCAAAGUGGUCGGACUCUUAAUGUUUGCCCAUUAUCGAUCUCUAAUU
rnacentral:lncRNA from 1 species